GUGAUACUUCCUCGGUCCAACAAAAGAUGUCUCAAGUUUCUUACAAUUUGAACGUAUCUAAACAUGACUUAGUGUAUAGAUGAAUUCAAAUUUAGUCAAAGUUGAGACAUAUUUUGUUAGACGGAAAGAGUAUAUU
rfam:Brachypodium distachyon strain Bd21 chromosome 5, whole genome shotgun sequence.